GCUUAAAUGGCUCAAUCGGUAGAGCAUUAGAUUUUUAAUCUGAGGGUCCAAGAAUCAAAGCUCUGUUUAGGCG
rfam:Taenia asiatica genome assembly, scaffold: TASK_scaffold0003026